UAUAGACGUCGGCUAUCUGGAGAACCCGACGCCAGUUUCAUUUUAAAAAGACCGCAAACUCUUCGCGGCAUUCAGUUUCUGAUAUCUUCCUCUUCCUCUUCUCCUUUUUCUCUCGCGGCACUCUUCUUUUUCUCCCUUUCGGCACGUCUUCUUUUUGUUGUGGCAUUCUAUUGUUGUUUCUGAUAUCUUUAUCGUCUUCCUCCUCUCUUUUUCUCUCUU
rnacentral:lncRNA from 1 species